rnacentral:rRNA from 1 species
GACGAACGCUGGCGGCGUGCCUAAUACAUGCAAGUCGAACGCUUCUUUUUCCACCGGAGCUUGCUCCACCGAAAAAAAAGGAGUGGCGAACGGGUGAGUAACACGUGGGUAACCUGCCCAUCAGAAGGGGAUAACACUUGGAAACAGGUGCUAAUACCGUAUAACAAUCGAAACCGCAUGGUUUCGGUUUGAAAGGCGCUUUUGCGUCACUGAUGGAUGGACCCGCGGUGCAUUAGCUAGUUGGUGAGGUAACGGCUCACCAAGGCAACGAUGCAUAGCCGACCUGAGAGGGUGAUCGGCCACAUUGGGACUGAGACACGGCCCAAACUCCUACGGGAGGCAGCAGUAGGGAAUCUUCGGCAAUGGACGAAAGUCUGACCGAGCAACGCCGCGUGAGUGAAGAAGGUUUUCGGAUCGUAAAGCUCUGUUGUUAGAGAAGAACAAGUAAGAUAGUAACUGAUCUUGCCUUGACGGUAUCUAACCAGAAAGCCACGGCUAACUACGUGCCAGCAGCCGCGGUAACAC